CUAGCUUUUAAACACUUUUUACCUUUAUGCAUAUAGCGUAGUACAAACUAUAGUUUGGAAAAACAACAAAAAAAAAAUACAGAAAAGCGAUGUCAAAAUAAAAAACGGACGCGUAUGAGAGAACGUAAUUAUAUAGUUGGUUUGUGUUGAUUUAUGAUUAACAACAGAAAAUACUUUACUUCAACAAAUGUUAACAUCAAAUCAUUGAAUAAUAUUAACUUUUUGUUGCUUAAAAAUAUUAUGAAAUUCAAA